UACGUAGGGGGCUAGCGUUGUUCGGAAUUAUUGAGCGUAAAGGGCUCGCAGGCGGUUUCUUAAGUCUGAUGUGAAAGCCCCCGGCUCAACCGGGGAGGGGCAUUGGAAACUGGGGAACUUGAGUGCAGAAGAGGAGAGUGGAAUUCCACGUGUAGCGGUGAAAUGCGUAGAGAUGUGGAGGAACACCAGUGGCGAAGGCGACUCUCUGGUCUGUAACUGACGCUGAGGAGCGAAAGCGUGGGGAGCGAACAGG
rnacentral:misc_RNA from 1 species